CCCUUAGACGUUCUGGGCCGCACGCGCGCUACACUGACCAGUGCAACAAGCAUCCGUCCUUGGCCGACAGGCCCGGGCAAUCUUUGAACGCUGGUCGUGAUGGGGAUAGACUUUUGCAAUUUUUGGUCUUCAACGAGGAAUUCCUAGUAAACGCAAGUCAUCAACUUGCAUUGAUUACGUCCCUGCCCUUUGUACACACCGCCCGUCGCACCUACCGAUUGAAUGGUCCGGUGAAAUCUCGGGACGGCGGCUUGGUCGCUUGCGUCCGACUGCUGAAACUUGAUUAAACCAUAUCAUUUAGAGGAAGGUGAAGUCGUANCA
rnacentral:rRNA from 1 species